rnacentral:rRNA from 1 species
UGAAUACGAGAUGCUACGGCAUCGAAGCAGUCUAUGUCAUACUUCCAAGAAAAGCUUGCACUGUCAUAAACAAAUAAUGCCUGUACCAUAACCGACACAGGCGGGUAGGUAGAGUAUACUAAGGGGCGCGAGAUAACUCUCUCUAAGGAACUCGGCAAAAUGACUCCGUAACUUCGGAAGAAGGAGUGCCUUAUUUUAUAAGGUUGCAAUAACAAGAUCCAAGCAACUGUUUACCAAAAACACAGGUCUCCGCUAAGUCGUAAGACGAUGUAUGGGGGCUGACGCCUGCCCAGUGCCAGAAGGUUAAAGAAGUUGGUUAGCAUUAGCGAAGCUGAUAACUGAAGCCCUGGUGAACGGCGGCCGUAACAAUAACGGUCCUAAGGUAGCGAAAUUCCUUGUCGGGUAAGUUCCGACCCGCACGAAAGGCGUAAUGAUUUGGAUACUGUCUCGGAGAGGGGCUCGGUGAAAUAGACUUGUCUGUGAAGAUGCGGACUACCUGCACCAGGACAGAAAGACCCUAUGAAGCUUUACUGUAACUUGAGAUUGAAAUUGGACUUUAUUUGCGCAGUAUAGGUGGGAGACGUUGAAAAUAUUCUUGCGGGAAUAUUGGAGUCAUCAGUGAGAUACCACUCUUAUAAUGUUAGAUUUCUAACUUUGUAUCAUUAUCUGGUCAAAGAACAGUCUCAGGCGGGCAGUUUGACUGGGGCGGUCGCCUCCCAAACGGUAACGGAGGCGCACAAAGGUUUCCUCUGAACGUGUAGAAAUCGUAUCUAGAGUGUAAAGGCAUAAGGAAGCUUGACUGUGAGACCUACAAGUCGAGCAGGGACGAAAGUCGGUCUUAGUGAUCUGACGGUGCUGAGUGGAAAGGCCGUCACUCAACGGAUAAAAGUUGCUCUAGGAUAACAGGCUGAUCUCCCCCAAGAGUUCACGUCGACGGGGAGGUUUGGCACCUUGAUGUCGGCUCAUCGCAUCCUGGGGCGGUAGUACGUCCCAAGGGUUGGGCUGUUCGCCCAUGAAAGCGGUACGCGAGCUGGGUUCAGAACGUCGUGAGACAGUUCGGUCCAUAUCCGGUGUAGGCGUUAGAAUAUUGAGAGGAGCCUUCUUUAGUACGAGAGGACCGAGAAGGACAUACCUCUGGUGUACCAGUUAUCGUGCCAACGGUAAACGCUGGGUAGCUAUGUAUGGAGAGGAUAACCGCUGAAAGCAUCUAAGUGGGAAGCCCACCUCAAGAUAAG